GGCUCCAUAGCUCGAGGGGUUAGAGCACUGGUCUUAUAAAUCAGGGAUUGUGAGUUUCAUUCUCACUGGGGCCU
rnacentral:tRNA from 1 species